GCCUGGGUGGCUCAGUUGGUUGAGCGUCUGACUUCGGCUCAGGUCAUGAUCUCGCGGUUUGCGAGUUCGAGUCCCGCAUUGGGCU
rfam:Felis catus isolate Cinnamon breed Abyssinian chromosome D4, whole genome shotgun sequence.